rnacentral:rRNA from 1 species
UUUAACUGAAGAGUUUGAUCAUGGCUCAGAUUGAACGCUGGCGGCAGGCUUAACACAUGCAAGUCGAGCGGGGGAAGGUAGCUUGCUACUGGACCUAGCGGCGGACGGGUGAGUAAU